GAAGAGCUCAUGAACGUGGUAACCUCCACUUGCUAUCGAGACUUCGAUUUCGGCGUCUCGUCAAUGAUCGGCAGGUCCUGCAUCUCUCUCUCUCUUCCGUGUUCGGUUUCAUGUAUUCCCUCGGGUCUGAAGCAUCCUCUGUUCCCGGCAAGUAUCAAGGAAGACGAUCGGCCCAUCGGUGAGGAACACCUCCGCAGCACUUCGAGCUCUCGAUGCCAGCCGCGAAUAUGUACGCACAGUCUCCCUUCUCCAUUCUUUCUCUCUCUUCUUUAAGAUCGUCUUCCUUUAAUGGCAGGUCGAUCGACGAGUUUGAGAGGUCGAAGUCGAAGCUCGCGGGGGACUUCGUAGCCGCGCUGCUUGAUCUCCAAAAGGCCCAAAAGCUCGCUAUGAAGCGGGAAGAUGCCCGUAACGCCUCCCCUUCUCGGCCUUGGCCGCUGACGAGCUCGCCCGGCGAAGAGACUGCUGCGGGAGAGGAUGCAGGUGACGACGACAGGUUGCUGCUGCUCUGGGAACAGACGGGGUAAGCAUUGCUGGAGUACACAAAACAGAGAUUGGCCCAAAUAAAACCUUCAAUUUGGUUUACACCAAGAUGAUGGUACGUACGCUCUUUAAGAUCCCAUGGGUAUAUGCUGAGCCAUGGAACUCAUAUCUUACAGGAGAAAGAGAGAGAGCCAAAUCCAUUCAUUUUCUCUCUCUUCAUGCCUGUAGGAAAACAUCUGAGACAUGAGAGUAAAUACAAAUCGAUCCAAUCCGCUGGGCUGCCUUCAGUACAAAAUCUGAGAAGCUUCAACAUAAUUAGCAUUUUUUUUUUUUGUGUGUGUGUGGAACCCCAAAUAUCCAAAUCAUAAAAGAAACAAUGCUAUUACAGCAUCAAGAAACUUCAACACACAAAAUGUAGUUGAGAAAGAUAAUUUGUGAUUCUUCUGGGGACAUCUUGGAUAGCUAAUGGCUCUUUAAACUUUCAAACUAGCACUCGAGUCGAGUGAUACCAAUAACCCGACUUAUGAUGUCCAGAGAUGUUUGAUGCAGAGGAUGAAAGUAAUUAUACUUUGCGAAAUUUGAGUUUCAACAUUAAUAAACCUUAACUUAAUGCAGAAUGAAAUAUUGUUCGAGUGUUGGACAUCUUUCUUAACUUAAGAAACCAAAGGUUUUCUACUAUUAGUCUAUACUCUGCUAGUUUUUCUUCAUUUCCAAAGACGGUUUCGCGGAAAUCACUUUCAUCGGCAGGCAAGAGUUACUCUCCUUGGAGAAUGAGAUAGUCUUCAGUGAGGCCACAAUAGAGGAAAGGGAGAAAGAUAUCAAAGAAAUACACUACGAUGUACAGCAAAUACACGAAAUUUAUCAAGAUCUCGCUGUCUUACUUCAUGACCAGCCUAUCAGUUUAGACAGAAAACAUCAAUAAGCGUAUCGAAGAGUCAGCAGCAUCGACAGGCCGAGCUAAAGAACAACUGUACAAGGCUUCCAAAUGCAGUAGAUCUAGGUCUUCUUGGGUGUGCUGGGUGUUGAUAAUUUUGGUGCUGGUGCUGGUGCUGGUCAUCCUUCUCCUUGUUCUCAUCUCCUUGUUCUCAUCUUGCACCGGUUGCUUGCCUGGCAUGACAAUCCAGUACAAUCACUAGUGAAGCAAUGAUCAUUCGACGUGUCAGGCAAUAUGUAUCGCUAAUCAGUUUCUAACAUCUCAUGAUUGUAAGCUAAUUUUGAAGCAUCACAAUGUUAUCGAGUAUGCUUUCUACUAAUCUAUAGCUGAAUUCUAUCA